GAAUUUUCCACAAUGGGCGAAAGCCUGAUCCAGCCAUGCCGCGUGAGCGAUGAAGGCCCUAGGGUUGUAAAGCUCUUUCACCCGCGAAGAUAAUGACGGUAGCGGGAGAAGAAGCCCCGGCUAACCCCGUGCCAGCAGCCGCGGUAAUACGGAGGGGGCUAGCGUUGUUCGGAAUUACUGGGCGUAAAGCGCGCGUACGCGGAUGUUCAAGUCGGGGGUGAAAUCCCGGGGCUCAACCCCGGAACUGCCUCCGAUACUGGACGUCUGGAGGACGGGAGAGGCGAGUGGAAUGCCGAGUGUAGAGGUGAAAUUCGUAGAUAUUCGGCGGAACACCCGUGGCGAAGGCGGCUCGCUGGUCCGUUUCUGACGCUGAGGCGCGAAAGCGUGGGGAGCAAACAGG
rnacentral:rRNA from 1 species